rnacentral:rRNA from 1 species
UACGUAGGGGGCGAGCGUUGUCCGGAAUCAUUGGGCGUAAAGAGCGUGUAGGCGGCCCGGUAAGUCCGCUGUGAAAGUCCAGGCUCAACCCUGGGAUGCCGGUGGAUACUGUCGGGCUCGAGUCCGGAAGAGGAGUGUGGAAUUCCUGGUGUAGCGGUGAAAUGCGCAGAUAUCAGGAGGAACACCAAUGGCGAAGGCAGCAC